rnacentral:rRNA from 1 species
GACGAACGCUGGCGGCGUGCCUAAUACAUGCAAGUAGAACGCUGAAGGAGGAGCUUGCUUCUCUGGAUGAGUUGCGAACGGGUGAGUAACGCGUAGGUAACCUGCCUGGUAGCGGGGGAUAACUAUUGGAAACGAUAGCUAAUACCGCAUAAGAGUAGAUGUUGCAUGACAUUUGCUUAAAAGGUGCAAUUGCAUCACUACCAGAUGGACCUGCGUUGUAUUAGCUAGUUGGUGGGGUAACGGCUCACCAAGGCGACGAUACAUAGCCGACCUGAGAGGGGGAUCGGCCACACUGGGACUGAGACACGGCCCAGACUCCUACGGGAGGCAGCAGUAGGGAAUCUUCGGCAAUGGACGGAAGUCUGACCGAGCAACGCCGCGUGAGUGAAGAAGGUUUUCGGAUCGUAAAGCUCUGUUGUAAGAGAAGAACGAGUGUGAGAGUGGAAAGUUCACACUGUGUCGGUAUCUUACCAGAAAGGGACGGCUAACUACGUG